UACGUAGGGCGCAAGCGUUAUCCGGAAUUAUUGGGCGUAAAGAGCUCGUAGGCGGUUUGUCGCGUCUGCCGUGAAAGUCCGGGGCUCAACCCCGGACCUGCAUCCGAAACUGCCCCGACUAGAGGUAGGUAGGGGAGAUCGGAAUUCCUGGUGUAGCGGUGAAAUGCGCAGAUAUCAGGAGGAACACCGGUGGCGAAGGCGGAUCUCUGGGCCUUACCUGACGCUCAGGUGCGAAAGCUAGGGGAGCGAACAGG
rnacentral:rRNA from 1 species